AUGGAGAAGAAGUCGGACGAUCGGCCGGCGAGGAGGAGGGAUGGCAAGGAGGAGAGGAUGGGCAGGGCGGGCGUGGUGCUCAUCGUGUGCCUCUGCACGCUGCCGUUCCUGGUGUUCCUCUUCCGCGCGCCGGCCGUCUGGCACAACGCCGCCAAGCUCACCGCCACAGCCGGAGGGUUAGUGAACGUCUCUCGUCCAAGCGUCGCCGGCGGCGGCGCAGACGAGCUCUUCGGCGGCCUGCUCGCGCCGGGCUCCGACCGACGCGCGUGCCUGAGCCGGUACCAGUCCCCGCGUUACUACAAGCACUCCCCCUACGCGCCCUCGCCGCACCUCUUGCAGAAGCUGCGCGACUACGAGGCUCGGCACAAGAAGUGCGGCCCCGGCACGCCGCCGUACGCCAAGUCCGUCGAUCACCUCAGCUCCGGCAGCAGCAGCACGGAGGACGAUGAGUGCAACUACGUCGUGUGGAUCCCCUACAACGGCCUCGGCAACCGGAUGCUGUCGCUGCUGAGCACGUUCCUGUACGCGCUCCUCACCGGCCGCGUCCUCCUCGUGCACUCCACCGACGACUUCACCGACCUCUUCUGCGAGCCGUUCCCCGGCGGGACCUGGGCGCUCCCGCCGGACUUCCCCGUCGCGGACAUGUCCCGGCUCGGGGCGCGCUCCAACGAGUCGUACGGGAACCUCCUGGACGGCAAGAAGAUCUCCAACGACCCGGCCAAGGCGACGGCGCGGUCGGUGCCGCCGUAUGUGUACCUGCACCUGGCGCACGACCUCCGGCGCUCGGACCGGCUCUUCUACUGCAACGACGACCAGCUGGUGCUGGCCAAGGUGAACUGGCUGCUGCUGCAGAACGACUUCUACUUCGUGCCGGCGCUGUACGACAUGGCCGAGUUCGAGGGCGAGCUCCGGAGGCUGUUCCCGGCCAUGGAGAGCGCGUCGCACCUCCUCGGCCGGUACCUGUUCCACCCGUCCAACUCGGUGUGGGGCAUGAUCACGCGCUACUACCACUCGUACUUGGCCCAGGCGGACGAGAGGAUCGGCGUGCAGAUCAGGAUGUUCUCCUGGGCAUCCAUCCCCGUCGACGACAUGUACGACCAGAUCAUGGCGUGCUCCCGGCGGGAGCGCAUACUGCCGUACGUCGAUGGCGACGAGGCGAACACGACGAGCACCGCGGCCGACGGCUCCAACAAAUCCAAGGCCAUCUUGAUCGCGUCGCUGCAGGGCGAGUACUAUGAGAGGAUCAAGUCGACGUACUACGAGCACGCGGCAGAGGGCGGGGGCAGGGUGGGGGUGUUCCAGCCGAGCCACGAGGAGCGGCAGACGAUGGGGCAGCGGUCGCACAACCAGAAGGCGCUGGCGGAGAUCUACCUGCUCAGCUUCUCCGACGUGCUGCUCACCACGGGGAUAUCCACCUUCGGCUACAUGAGCAGCAGCCUCGCGGGGCUGCGCCCCACAAUGCUCAUGAUCGCCAAGGACCACAAGGUGCCCGAGACGCCGUGCGUGCGCGCCGUGUCCAUGGAGCCGUGCUUCCACAUGACGCCCGAUGUCAAGUGCCGGGGCAAGGCGGUGAACAAGGAGGAGCUGUCUCGGCACGUCAAGGAGUGCGAGGAUGUACCCAAAGGGAUGAAAUGGAUUAAAGGUAUCAAGUUAGUUGAUUAG
rnacentral:rRNA from 1 species